CACACGUGCUACAUUGGCCGGUACAAAGGGCUGCAAAACCGCGAGGUUGAGCGAAUCCCAAAAAGCCGGUCCCAGUUCGGAUUGAGGUCUGCAACUCGACCUCAUGAAGUCGGAGUCGCUAGUAAUCGCAGAUCAGCAACGCUGCGGUGAAUACGUUCCCGGGCCUUGUACACACCGCCCGUCACGUCAUGAAAGUUGGUAACACCCGAAGCCGGUGGCCUAACCGUUGUGGGGGAGCCGUCGAAGGUGGGACUGGUGAUUAGGACUAAGUCGUAACAAGGUAGCCGUACC
rnacentral:rRNA from 14 species